UAUGAAAGACGAUCGCUGGAGGACAUAGGAGCCUCAAGAGGAAAGUCCGGGCUGCAUAGGGCAGGAUGGCGGCUAAUGACCGCCGAGGGUGACCUCAGGGCUAGUGCCACAGAAAUGGAGACCGCCGGUGCUUGACCGGUAAGGAUGCAACGGUGCGGUAAGAGCGCACCAGCAGUCUGGUAACAGGCUGGCUAGGUAAACCCCAUUCGCAGCAAGACCAAAUAGGGGAGGGAUGAAGCUGCCCGCCGACCUCCCGGGUUGCGUCGCUAGAGACUGCAGGCGACUGCAGUAGUAGAUAAAUGAUCGUCAUCGCGUAAGCGAAACAGAACCCGGCUUAAUG
rnacentral:RNase_P_RNA from 1 species